ACACUCCUACGGGAGGCAACAGUGGGGAAUAUUGGACAAUGGGCGCAAGCCUGAUCCAGCCAUGCCGCGUGAGUGAUGAAGGCCCUAGGGUUGUAAAGCUCUUUCACCGGUGAAGAUAAUGACGGUAACCGGAGAAGAAGCCCCGGCUAACUUCGUGCCAGCAGCCGCGGUAAUACGAAGGGGGCUAGCGUUGUUCGGAUUUACUGGGCGUAAAGCGCACGUAGGCGGACUAUUAAGUCAGGGGUGAAAUCCCGGGGCUCAACCCCGGAACUGCCUUUGAUACUGGUAGUCUUGAGUUCGAGAGAGGUGAGUGGAAUUCCGAGUGUAGAGGUGAAAUUCGUAGAUAUUCGGAGGAACACCAGUGGCGAAGGCGGCUCACUGGCUCGAUACUGACGCUGAGGUGCGAAAGCGUGGGGAGCAAACAGGAUUAGAUACCCGAGUAGUCCCA
rnacentral:rRNA from 1 species